rnacentral:lncRNA from 1 species
AAGGGAGAUAGCUUCUGGGUCGUUGGAUUCGAGUAUAGAUAGAACAACCACAUGAAAGAUGUUAACCGGAGAGGUAGUCGACAGUGACAGAAAUGUCGAUGAUGGUGACCAGCUGGAGAUAAUGGAGGAGGUGUUGACACUCAUUCACUUCAAUCUCAUUCUCUAUCUCCUUCAUUUAUGAAUUUUUUUUUAGUGAUGAUGAUGAUGAAAGGAAGGGUUGGGUUUGAAGAUGAUGAAAUAGUAUUUCCAUGUUGUUGUGCUGUCGUUAAAUUUUUUUAGGGAUAGAUUUUGUUUUUCUAAGUUAGCAGAUUCCAAUUUUGAAGAUGAGAAUGAUUUCCCUUCCAAAUUUGAAGGUGAGAGAUUUGAGCAUGAG